rnacentral:misc_RNA from 1 species
GAGAGAGAGAGAGAGGGAGGGAAGGAGGGAGAGAUCAGCAUAAAAGACUAAAAAGAAUCAUAUGAUAACAUUGCUUUUCCAGCAUUUAUCUUAGUGUCGUAAACAACAUGAAAAAUGCUUUGAAAAAUACUUGUGCUUCCUUAAAUUGGUAAUGCUACCAGAUUUUGAACAUUUACAGGAAGACUACAAUGAAUCAGCAAUAUAC